rnacentral:rRNA from 1 species
GAUCAUGGCUCAGGAUGAACGCUAGCUACAGGCUUAACACACGCAAGUCGAGGGGCAGCAUUUUAGUUUGCUUGCAAACUAAAGAUGGCGACCGGCGCACGGGUGAGUAACACGUAUCCAACCUGCCGAUAACUCGGGGAUAGCCUUUCGAAAGAAAGAUUAAUAUCCGAUAGUAUAUUUUCUCCGCAUGGUGAGAAUAUUAAAGAAUUUCGGUUAUCGAUGGGGAUGCGUUCCAUUAGUUUGUUGGG